UAUCAUCACAGCCGGCCUAGCACUCGAGGAGAUCAAACGCCAUUUUUGUUUUUUCCUUGCGACAAACUUCAAAAUAUACGGGGUGAAAAUGAAGCACAUCUCGGCAGCACUGCUGCUCUCCGUACUGCUGUUUCACGCUGUCCUCGCUGAUGCAUUAAAGGACAAAACCUUAGACAAAGAUCUCCUGGAGCGAACCCGACGGGCCGUUGCCCACCAGGGUCUUAUCAAUCCUGCCGAUUUGAGGAUGCUGAAGGUCCGACGAACUGAUCCGUAUCGUCGCGCUCCUCGCAUGAAGAGAUACCGCAGAAUGGCGGAGGACCCCGAGAUGUUCAAGAGGGGACCAAAGAGCGAGAAGUACAUCACAAGAGUGAAGAAAAUUGUCAAAUCUUAAAACAAUGAUCUUUCUUAUUGAUAUGUUCAAGUAACAAUUUGGAUUUUCUUGGGCAGAAACUCUGAACAGAACAAACUGCCAUACUCUUGCUACUUGUGACUACGCCAGUUGGGAUAGAACCAAAUCAAUCAUCACCUCUGCAAUAGAGCUGGAAUAUCACUGAACACCAUUUACCUCCCAACUACCAAUUCGGCACGGACUACAAUCAUGGAGUUUGAAUCAAACUAGUCAAAUAAUCACAACCAAAAAUGUUCUAUUUAACAAUAACUCUACUUAUAUUGUAAAAUCCAGAAAAUAAAACGGAGGCAAUGAUAUUGUAUUGGUUUUUCAAUUUUUACUCAAGGGGUUGAAUGCAUAUUGUACAUAAAUUACAUAAAUGAUAACACUUCAAAUUUAAAUAGUUUGUAUCUUUUUAAAUCUAUGUUGAAAUUGUACCUUGUUCUUAAAGGGAGGGUAUGCCUUUCAUAAAAACUCACUUGGUUGAAAGCAAUGCAGCUGUUGAUAAUGUAUAAUAUUUUGAGAAAUUUUUCAGGAACGUGGUGCGGGAGAAAGGGAUGCAAACAAAAUCAAUCUGAGAAACACUUUAUGCAUGAAAUGUUUCUCAGAUUUUUUUAAUUAUUUACAGAUUAUGUUUCCUGGGACAUAACAGCUACAGAUUUUUGGCGAUAUUUUAAAAACAAAACCACCUUUGAAAAUUAAAUUCUUGCAGGUUAGUUUUACUGUAUCUUUACACUUAUAUAGGAAUAUAACAACUGAACAGUUCCGAAAACCAAACGUACACUUUUUAAAGGUGCAAACAAAUUCAUUGGUGCAGUGAGGUGAUGCACAACUCUUAACAUUUUAGUUGAUGUCAAAAUAUAUACAUGUAGUAGAGCUUUGUACUGACUUUAAUAAUAUAAAUAAAUAAAGUAUUUACUAAAAGCUAUUUGACAUACUGUCUAAAUUCUUAGGAACACUGAUAAUCAUCAGAGUUGUUCGUAGUAAGUUACUCUCCAAGAAAAAUAAGUCAUUGUCAAAAUAAUCAGUUACAAAUUAAAACUUGGUGUAUAAUUCAAGAAAUGCAUGUUUUGGUGCAAUGUUCAAUUUUACAUUCCAGGAGCUGGAUACAAGGCCUUCGGUUUUUUUUAAACACAGUAAUUUGUUUGAACCAAUUUUGUUUUUAUUCCAUCCAAAUGGAACAACGAUUUACAAAUCAAGUCUUGGGAUUGAGUCUUUCUACUGUGUUUAUAACAUUUAUCUCAUCUCUUCAUUUUGAUAAGCUAACACAAUUUCUGUCUACCCCAAGACCUCAUUUGUUUCAUAAUUAAUUAUUGUACAUUUAGAUCAUAUACUUUACAAGUAUAUCAUUGGCGUAUCAUGUAUUAAAUUGGUGGUAACAUCUACAUGGUACUUUUUAAGAAGUCUGGAUACUUUGACAAAAUUAAACUAUUUCUUCAAAGCUUACAAACAAUGGACCCAUUCUUAUAAAGCUGUUAAGCAGAAACAGAGAUUGGCAAGUUCUUCUGCUGGGCCAAAAUGAUCAGGGAACCACCAGUCACAAACAACAUUAUAUUUUGGCUUGUUAUCAACUUAACCUAAGCAAGAUUUUGCUGUGCCAAGAGUUGUUUUGUGUUUGGGGUGGUGUUUAGCAGCUUUAUGAAAGCAGGCCCUUUUUGGAGUUAUUUCUAUGAUGAAAUUGCAAAACAGUCAUGCUUACUGUUACAAUAAAAUGUAUUUAUUUAUGGAACUUUUAGAAAUUAACAAUCAUGUACACAGAGAUAUGGAUUAAGUAGACUGUUUUUGUUUCACAUAUCAAACAACAAUUAUCCCAAAAACUUGUAGUUCAACUUUGUCAAUCUAAUAAUCAAUGCGGUCUGUGUCAUAACAGAAGAAGAUCAAACUAAAAACACUCUAGUAAGAUAAUAUGAAAUACCAGAACUUUUUUGGUUCAUCAGAUGCAGAAGAUGCAAGUCAUCAUUUUGUUUGUUUUUGAGAUUCAACAAUUUAAAAGAAAAGUAUUUAUAUUGCAAAGUAUGUUUUAAUAACUUAUUAAUCAUAAACUACAUUUUAAUAUAAUAAAUUAUGGGGAUAAAAAUGACAA